ACAUCUCUUGCUCAACUUGUAUACAAUGAUCCAGCAGUGGAAAAUCAAUUUAACCUCAGGAUAUGGAUUUGGGUGUCUAACAUCUUUGAUGAAGUGAGACUCACAAGGGAGAUGUUAGAUUUUGUGUCCGAGGAAACACAUCAAGGGCUUUGCAGCUAUGCCAAGCUUCAGGAGGUCUUGAAGAAUAAUAUCAAAUCGAAGAGGGUUCUACUUGUUUUAGAUGAUGUCUGGGAUGAUAGAAAUGAUAGCCGAUGGGACCAGCUAUUGGCUCCUUUUGCGUCUGACAGUGCAAACAACAAUGUCAUAAUCAUGACAACUAGAAAACCAUAUAUUGCAAAAAGGAGAGGAACGGUUGAACCAAUUAAGUUAGGUGCAUUGGAAAAACAGGAUUUCUGGUUACUGUUUAAAGCAUGUGCAUUUGGUGAUGAGAACUACGAAGAGAAAGAAAGUCUAAGUGACAUAGCGCAUAAAAUGGCACAAAAAUUAAAGGGAAACCCAUUAGCAGCGCAAACUGCAGGAGCACUAUUAAGGGGACAUCUUACCGUUGAACAUUGGACUAACAAUCUGAAAAAUGAAUACUGGAAAUCCCAGAAACUAUGUAACGGCAUCAUGCCAGCUUUGAAGCUUUGCUAUGAUGAGCUGCCCUACCAUUUACAACAGUGUUUUUCAUAUUGUUCUAUAUUCCCAUAUAGUUAUCUGUUUCAUGCCGAGGAGUUAGUUCGUAUGUGGAUUUCACAGGGAUUUGUGAAGCCUGAUUAUUCAAGUAGGAGUUUGGUGGAAAUGGGAUGGUCCUAUCUAACUGACUUGGUGAACUUGGGCUUCUUUGAGCAGGUUGAGGAAAAUGAAGAAGUCUUCUCUUCAGGCAAACAGGCAUCCUAUGCCAUUAGAGAUCUUAUGCAUGAUUUUGCAAGGGUUGUUUCAAGAAUGGAGUGUGCAACAUUGGAUGGUAUAUGUUGCAAUGAA
rnacentral:rRNA from 1 species